CCGUCCUGUUUUGUUUGCACGCUGCUGCACUCCCGACUGCUUCCCGGCAUUCCUCGCCAUGAGAAUCAAUCUGUACAGUUUACGUUCCGCUGACAGGUUUGACCUUCGGUUGACCUUGGAGACAGUCGCCUCCGCUGAUCGGCGCUCCGACACCAGAAAGACCAAACAACCAAAAAAUCAUCAAACAUGGGGGGAAUAAAUUGGCUGCGGUACCGCUCCUCCAUGCAGCAGUACUUCCAGGUGUGGAGCAGGUAGGAGCUGUGUCGCUGUGUGUGUCGCUGUGUGUGUCGCUGUGUGUCGCUGUGUGUCGCUGUGUGUGUCGCUGUGUGUCGCUGUGUGGGUGUGUUCCUGUGGCGAACAGCCGAGGUUCCAUGUUUGGAACCUUCAGGCCUUCUGGCUUCUCCUGUGGCUCAUGGUGCCUGACAUGCUUUGCUUUUUUGUUGGUUUGACAAUGCUGCUUUGUGUUUUUGUGCCUUUGUUGUGUCUUUUGUUUGUUGUGCCGUCUGCUGAAGUGUCAGGCAGUUAAAGAGGAUAUUGCAACUGUUUUUUUUCUGGUGUGUCAUGGUGCACCCUGGGAGUUUGGGACGGGGAAUGCAGGAUUGAGAUGUCGGCGUUGUGGUUUAUUUUGAUGUUGUGGGGUCGGUGUGUGAGAACUGUGAACAAGUUAACCCUGAAUUGAAAGAGGAGUAACUCCCACCUGGUUCAGAGGGAAAAGGAAGUGAACCUCUCGGUUACCAACGUCUCAUGGUGCGUUCACACCGGACGCGAAUAGCGCGGCGAGAGCAGCCGAGUUACAGAGAAAAUAUAUGGUUUUCGCGCGGCCAGGAAGCGUUGAGCGGUCACGCGGCGCAAAUUCAGCGAAUUGAGCGGCGGAGCGAACCGCUCUAAUCGCGCCGCUGAAAGUUGGGAAUGUUGAACUUUUGAGCGAAUUCGUGAGCGGUGAACCAAUCGCAGAGCCGCUCUAUAUGACGUCAUUUAUGACAUACUGGAGCCCCGGGAAACUCCAGAAAUGGAUGAGAAACUGAUCACAGCGGUCUGCGUCGCCCUGAGCCCAUCGUCGUAUUUUUAUCGGGACAGGAAUAAAAAGGAGCUUGGAGGAAGAUCAGUGAGGAGGUCGGGUCCCGGGUAAACUGAGGAUAGAGACUGUGGUGAAACAGUGUUGACCGUCAGUUAAACAGUGAGUUCACUGAGAGGUCGGGUCCCCGGUGGAAUGCGAGCGCCGAAGCAGGACAGCAGCUCGUCAAACUGACCCGGGAGAGAUGGAAGUCCCGCUGAAAGCGUCCUUCAUCCCGAUGCAGCUCCUGGAGUAAAUGGUGAAACUCUCCAUACUCUGAACGCCUCUGCAAAAUACUAUGAAUCCAGACACGUCGCCUGGACUCGCCACGACGCCGUUGUCGGGCUUUAUCAAGCAAUUAAGCAGACCGCCGGCAGCAGAGACGUGAAUUCAGAGGCAGCCGCUGUUGGGUCACAAAAUGCACACGCCGCCAACCAGGGGCGAAUUGCGCCGCGCUACUCGCGUCCGGUGUAAACGCACCAUCAGAGGCGCUGGAACUAUCCGGUCCGGAGCAGGUUUUCACCUCAAACCCUGAAGUUUCUCUGCAGCUCCGCCUCCUUCCAGCCACAGAGCAGCCGUUUCUCAGUCCGGGUUAUUCUCUGUACUUGUGAGCUCACGGACUCCUGAAACGUCAUCAGUCGAAGACCAAGUACUGAUCCAAGUACGCAUCUCACCGAGUACACAAGAAAUACCUGGAUGUGGACUGACUCCGCCCACUUUCACAUUUCGCAAGACAUGAAGGAGGAGUGACCAGACAGCGGCUUAUUUGAAAAUAUGUUCCGAGUUCGGACCGCGGCGACCCGGCGCUCGGCUGCUUCCUGUCGGCCGUGACUCUCGCUGUGGUUGAACAGCGAGAUGUGGAUCGUUUACUAGACUUUGGGAUCUCUUCAGGUUCGGCUGACGCCAAACAAGCUAAUCUGAAGGGCUAAUCCAAGCUGGUCGUCAGUCUGGGGUCAUAAAGGUAACUGGGUUCUGCAGGUCUGAGUCUGCACCUCCACCCAGCAGAAACCAGCUGGUUCAUGGAGGAUCUGAGCAGGACCAGGGCCUCGUCACAUCUCAGGUAACUGUGUGGCUCUACAGGAGGAAACAUUCUGACGUGGCUCCAUCAGCGGCUAAAGCAGGAUGGAGUAAUGCCUGAUGGUUCCGGGUUCCUCCUGUCUGAGAGCGGGUCACUCUGAGAUGAUGUUCAUCCACAACACUGAGGACGGUCCGGCAGAACCCCGCCGGAACCCCGAGCUCCGAACUUCAUCCUGGGGCUUUUUCCUGGAGCAGCAUCUGCAGCAGCUGAACAGUGUUCUCCCUGGAGAACCGUGAAGACUGGAGUCAUAUGACCUCCAGGAUCGACACCUCAUCGUUGAUCUGUGCAUGUUGUUGUUGUUCCUGGUAAAUAAAAGA